UCUUUUUUAUAUAAUAGUCUACAAUGCGCGUGAUCCUGCUUAAGAGUCGCCGAAAGGAUCUUCUCCUGCGGUCCUCCUACCUCACCCUCUCCCCCUCUCCCUCCUCGACGAUGCUGCGCGAGUGAACGGAGGUCCUAUUUCCGGCCGAUAUUUAAAUCCGACGAGGACCGAAUUCGCUCGACCUUAACCGAAGCGUUCGGUCCGGCUGUCACAUUCGCGGUGUACCGAAUGCUCGUCUCUCGCGUGGCGACGACGGCGGCGGCGUGACGCGUUAAAUGAAAAUGGCAACGCGCUGCUACGCCAUGCGACAGUCUCCACGGGAUACGUACGGUCGCGCAAAUUGCGCUGCUUUAUCAGAAAUAACACUGAAAUAACACCAGGACAUGGGACAAGCGACAAUGCGAGAUUCAGAAGCACUUGGCUGAUGUAAGGAUCACGCUAUGAUUGACAUAUAGAUGAGAUUGAUUCUGAGGAUAUCGAGUUUGAAAGAUUUCAUGGAGUACCUUGAUAAGCAAUAUUUUCAAUUUGGAAGCAGAAGAUAG